AAUCAACGCUGGCGGCGUGCCUAACACAUGCAAGUCGAACGCGAAAGCCCUUUCGGGGGUAAGUAGAGUGGCGUCCGGGUGAGUAACACGUAGGUAAUCUACCUUCGGGUGGGGAAUAACUCGCCGAAAGGCGAGCUAAUACCGCAUAAUGCAGCGGCACCUAAUGGUGAUUAGUUGUUAAAGCGGGGGAUCGUAAGACCUCGCGCCUGAAGAGGAGCCUGCGGCAGAUUAGCUAGNGGUGAGGUAAUGGCUCACCAAGGCUUCGAUCUGUAGCUGGUCUGAGAGGACGGCCAGCCACACUGGCACUGAUACACGGGCCA
rnacentral:rRNA from 1 species